rnacentral:rRNA from 1 species
CUACGGGCCGCAGCAGUGAGGAAUAUUGGACAAUGGAUGGAAAUCUGAUCCAGCCAUGCCGCGUGCAGGAAGACGGCCCUAUGGGUUGUAAACUGCUUUUCUACGGGAGCAAUAAGGUCUACGAGUAGACUGAUGAGAGUACCGUAGGAAUAAGCAUCGGCUAACUCCGUGCCAGCAGCCGCGGUAAUACGGAGGAUGCGAGCGUUAUCCGGAUUUAUUGGGUUUGAGGGUGCGUAGGCGGCUUUUUAAGUCAGCGGUGAAAUUUUGCAGCUUAACUGUAACAGUGCCGUUGAUACUGGAGGCUAGGAUUUGGUUGCUGUGGGUGGAAUGUGUGGUGUAGCGGUGAAAUGCUUAGAGAUCACACAGAAUAUCGAUUGCGAAGGCAGCUCACAAAGCCAAGAUUGACGCUGAGGCACGAAAGUGUGGGGAUCAAACAGGAUUAGAUACCCCCGUAGUC